UACGGGGGGAGCAAGCGUUGUUCGGAUUUACUGGGCGUAAAGGGCGCGUAGGCGGUCGUGACAAGUCACUUGUGAAAUCUCCGGGCUUAACUCGGAACGGUCAAGUGAUACUGUCGGACUAGAGUACAGAAGGGGCAACUGGAAUUCUCGGUGUAGCGGUGAAAUGCGUAGAUAUCGAGAGGAACACCGAUGGCGAAGGCAGCCUUCUGGGCCAACACUGACGCUCAUGCACGAAAGCGUGGGGAGCAAACAGG
rnacentral:rRNA from 1 species